ACAGCCGCCACCGAUUUCGGAGCCGUGGUAGCUGUCGCCGCCGCAGCCGUCGCCGCCACUGCAGCCACCCGUGCCGCCUCCUGAAGAGUGGGCUUGGGAAGAAAGCGGUCGCAGCUAUUAAAGCUUCGUUGGAAGCGCUUUUGCCCCCUGGAACCCUCCCAUGGAACAACCAUGGACAAAAGUGAGCUGGUACAGAAAGCCAAGCUGGCUGAACAGGCUGAGCGCUAUGAUGACAUAGCUGCAACUAUGAAAGCAGUCACGGAGCAGGGCACGAACUCUCCAAUGAAGAGAGAAAUCUGCUCUCUGUUGCCUACAAGAACGUGGUAGGCCCCCGCCGCUCUUCCUGGCGUGUUAUCUCCAGCAUUGAGCAGAAAAUGGAGAGGAAUGAGAAGCAGCAGAUAGGCAAAGAGUACCGUGAGAAGAUCGAGGCGGAGCUGCAGGACAUCUGCAAUGAUGUUCUGGAGCUGUUGGACAAAUAUUCCUAACGCUACACAACCAGAAAGUAAGGUGUUCUACUUGAAAAUGAAAGGAGAUUAUUUUAGGUACCUUUCUGAGGUGGCAUCUGGAGACAAUAAACAAACUACUGUGUCGAACUCCCAGCAGGCAUAUCAGGAAGCGUUUGAAAUUAGUAAGAAAGAAAUGCAGCCUACACAUCCAAUUCGACUUGGCCUGGCACUAAAUUUCUCCGUCUUUUACUAUGAGAUUCUAAACUCUCCUGAAAAGGCCUGCAGCCUAGCAAAAACGGCAUUUGAUGAAGCAAUUGCUGAUUUGGAUACGCUGAAUGAAGAGUCUUACAAAGACAGCACCCUGAUCAUGCAGCUACUUAGUGACAAUCUCACUCUGUGGACAUCGGAGAACCAGGGAGAUGAAGGAGAUGCUGGGGAGGGAGAGAACUAAUGUCUGUUGUGCUCUGUGAUCUGUUCAGUGUCACUCUGUACCCUCCACAUAUAUCCCUUUGUGCGA